GAGUUUGAUCAUGGCUCAGGAUGAACGCUGGCGGUCUGCUUAACACAUGCAAGUCGAACGGAACUCUUCGGAGUUUAGUGGCGGACGGGUGAGUAACGCGUGAGAAUCUGCCCUUAGGUUGGGGACAACAGCUGGAAACGGCUGCUAAUACCCAAUGUGCCGAGAGGUAAAAGCUUAAUGUGCCUGAGGAUGAGUUCGCGUCUGAUUAGCUAGUUGGAGUGGUAACGGCACACCAAGGCGACGAUCAGUAGCUGGUCUGAGAGGACGAUCAGCCACACUGGGACUGAGACACGGCCCAGACUCCUACGGGAGGCAGCAGUGGGGAAUUUUCCGCAAUGGGCGCAAGCCUGACGGAGCAAGACCGCGUGGGGGAAGAAGGUUUGUGGAUUGUAAACCCCUUUUGAUUGGGAAGAACACAAUGACGGUACCAAUCGAAUCAGCAUCGGCUAACUCCGUGCCAGCAGCCGCGGUAAUACGGAGGAUGCAAGCGUUAUCCGGAAUUAUUGGGCGUAAAACGUCCGUAGGUGGCAUUGCAAGUCAGUUGUUAAAGCGCGGGGCUUAACCCCGUAAAGGCAAUUGAAACUGCGAAGCUAGAGUGCGAUAGGGGCAAGGGGAAUUCCCAGUGUAGCGGUGAAAUGCGUAGAUAUUGGGAAGAACACCGGUGGCGAAAGCGCCUUGCUGGGUCUGCACUGACACUGAGGGACGAAAGCUAGGGGAGCGAAAGGGAUUAGAUACCCC
rnacentral:rRNA from 1 species